rnacentral:rRNA from 1 species
AAAGUAAGCUUCCUUGAACAAACCCAGUCCCGUCCGAUCUUGGAAGUUAAGCAGGGUCGGGCCUGGUUAGUACUUGGAUGGGAGACCACCUAGGAAGAACAGGUGCUAUA